AUUGAAGGCUGCAGCCAAUGGAAUAUGUUCAGCUGGUUUUCCUUGGCUUCCUAGAUUAAAAAAAAAUAAUAAAGCAUAGUUCUUUAUUAACUUUAGGAUAUUGUUCAUAAAAUAAAUAAAGGCCCCUGCACUAACAUGACAACAUGCCUCAUGGUCACCCUCUCUAUAUGUACUUACUCAUUAAAGUGUAUUUUAUUUCCUUAUGUGGAAAGCACUUUUAUAAAAUCACCCUUUUGAAAAGAAGUGGGCACAGAGAACCCCACUCCUGUUCUUUUCCUCUAGUGCCAUUGUCCAUCAUCAAAAGGGAAACUCUUAGUUAAUCAGAUCUGUACAAAUAAAAUUCCAAGUCCAUUUGCUUGUUUUGCUAUCUAGUACUUUUGUUUCUUCUUCCUCACAUUUGCACUUUAUGGGGGAAAAAAGUUUAACAGCAACAACAGCCUAUAAAACACUGCAUUCUGGAGGGCAAGGUUUGACCCUAGGAAUGUGCGAGUAGCCUUUGAAAGGCAUUGGAGGAAAAGUCUGAAUCUUCCAGCCUUCCUUCUGUCUUUAAAUACUUCCCGUGCUGGCUGAAACAAGAUGAGCUAGGUAAAGGCCUCUAGUUGAAUAACAGACCAUUUCCAAAACUGAGAGAGGCACAAGCUUCCUGCCGAGGAUUAAAAAGCAAAAGAUAUCCACGAAGGGCUCUCUGUGGUUGGAUAGCAGUGAAAAUAGGACUUGGUUUACCCCUUUAUGGACAGGAAAAUUGCUGCAGGUCAGAAUUGUAUUCUCUUUCCUGGACAUAGAAAGAAUGUAUAAAUUAAUGAAGGAAAUGUUUAUUUUUAAAUAAGAAUAAUGUUUGAGUUCUAUGUUUUCAUAUUUGAUUUUUUUCGUAUAUACAUGUUAGAAAUAUAAUGAAAUAUCUAGUUUCUCAAUUUAAUUGAAACUAUGAAGAGUACAGUUUAGAAAUUAGGUAUCUCUAAAUUGUUCUUUUCAUAUAUUACCCAUAAUUACAUUGAAAUAUAUUAUCUAGUCAUUUGGCUCAGUAAAGCUUAAUGGAGGCAGUUAAUGAAAAUGAGCAGACUAGAAGCCAGAGACGGCAGUAGAAGCCUAAGGGAGAUAAUGACAAGAAAUUGUCUUGGGCUUAUUUAGAGUAAGGCCUCCUCAAAGGGGAGAACUAUUUUUCUGUUAAGGAACACAUAUGAGUGCUUUGGUAAACGGAGCCUUCCUUGGUUUAGAGCAUCAUCCCUGAGCUGAAAGAGUUUAUUUGAGUUGAGCAUAGUGUCCUGGUACCUGUGGAAUCAUAGCCUGAGCUACAAAGGGACCUUUGAGACCAUCCUCUAGUCCACCAUCCUCUUCAUUUUACAGGUGUGGGACCUGAGCUGGAUUGAACAGGGUCGGGGGAGAAGAGGCCUGGGCAGGACAGGCCACCUGGGAUCUCAUCCUGGCCCUUGCCAGCCACUGGCUGAGUGACCUUCAGCAGGCACUUCACCUCUCAGAGUUGCUGUUCCUUAGAGUUAUACGAUGGGUUUGGACUAGAUGGUCUUUAAGAUUAUAGAAGUAUAGGGUCCUAAGUAUAUAUUAUUAUAUUGAGAAGGGCUAUGAAGGAUUUAUAUAAUCCUGAUGUUCUUCAGUUAUCUUCUGUAGUUCCUGCUAUUACGGUAGCAGUGUUUACAUUUUAAAGAAUUAUAAUGGGCUUUUACUAACUUGCUCUUUCUUGAUUAUCUGAAUAGAAGCCUAAAUCAUAAUCUUAGAGAUUUUCCUUUUUAAGUAUUACAGAAACACAUGCGUGGACACACACCUACCUAUUCUAAUAAAAUGGUAUCAGAAGAUUUCUUUUUAAAUGUAUAAUCAGGCAUCUACCAGUUUAAAACGGGCAAAUACUAUAAGCAUAUGUUUCUGAUUUGCUUUUAUUCCAGCUAUGUAAGAGGAGUAACUAUAGCAGAAAACAUGACAAAUUGAUUUUUCCCUUUACAACAUUCAAAUGAGUCCCAAUGUUUUCAAAAAUACAUACCUCAGAGGAGAUAAGGCUUAAGUGGACACUUCUAAGUAUGAUUAUAAUUAUUAUAAUUAAUGAUUUCUUUAGCAGACAUAUCAGAAUUUUGACAUCUAAUUAAGUGUUGUUCCCCUCAAUGUCAUCUAGUUUUACUUAAGAAGUUAAUACUUAUUCUAAUGAUGCUGCCAUCCUUAAAGUUAUUUUUGAAACUCCUCUCCUUAGAAAUAAUAUCAAGGAAGGUAAUAAGGUAUAAGAAAAUCAGCUAUAUUAUUUAAUUAGUAUCACUUUGAGAAAGCACCUGGAAGUAUAUUCUUUCUUUGUCUACUUUUUCUACUACUCUUGGUUCUGAGUAACAUUUAGCCAUUUCCAGAAAGCAAAUUCAACCCUGUAAGAUGAAGAGUGGUUACUGUUGAAGACAGUAAAAAGGAUAAUCCACAAAAAAUUCUCAGAGAGGACCUUAUAAUAGAAAGUGAACAUGAUUAAGACUUAAUUUCUGUAAUUUUCUGAAUAAGGAAACUUCUGUGAUUCCUUAGUCUUUAGAAUGGUUUAAAACAUUGAAAGAUAUGGGUAUUAAAACACCUCUGAAAGAAGUUGUCACUUUGUUCAGUGUUAUUUGAUAUUGGACUUCGCUCUUCCUGAAUUAGAAUUACACAACUUGGAUUGCUAAUACUUGUGGAAAAACAAACCCAAGAAACGAACUACUUUCUCAAGAUGUAAUAUUUGUUUUAUUAUUAAUACUUUUGGUUGUUUUGAUUACUUAUUUCCUACUCUCCUGACAGAUAAUUGAUCAACCAAUAUAACCUUCCCCAGGUUAGGAACAGUUCUGCCUUCAGCAGUGCUGUGGGAAUGAAGGGAUCUUUGGGGCUGACAGCCUAUGAUGUGGAGGGAUCUGCACUCAGCUAAAUAAAUACAUGCUAUAGAUACCUUGGGCCAAAAUAAAGUCUCUCUUGAUAAGGUUUUUCUGUGAUUUCCCAGAGUCCUUAACCUUCUCUGUCUGCAAGAUUAUCAGGCUCCCAUAGCCACUAACUUUGAGCUUUGGGAUGAAAAUGACAGGAUUGCCCAGUGUGCCGGGUUAAGCAAAUUAGAGGCUGCCUGGCAGAACAGAAAAACUAUCACAUGAAUAUUUAGAAUGGAAGCUUUCCUGAAACACUCCAGAUACUGCAAAGCUAUCUUUAUUCCUCUCUAAAGGCUAUAAUUUUAUCAACACAAAGUCAGCCUUUUCUUUUUCCACAUUAGUAAUGUUUCUGAAGUUGGAUGUGCUUAGAUUUCUUAAAUCAGAAUGAGUGCUAGGAAAUCUAUAACAAGAAACCUCUUUUGCUUCUCCCAGAUUUCCUUUCACUAAUACGGGAUAGGGAGGCUCCUUGGGUAAUGCUAACCUAUGCAAAGAAGUUACCAAAUGGUGGUAGUUGCUAGAAUUAAAGACACGUUCUUGGUUCACACUUUGAUGUAGUGACCUGAAUUUACUCUUUUCCUGUGAGUAUUCUACUCUGCCCUAUUGCACUCUCCUUUGUCAUGUGGAUGUGUGUUUAUCAUAGGUCUUUAACGCGUCCUUCCCAAGAAGACAAAGCAUACAGUUGUACAUGAAGAUAUCUUAUGCAGUAAAAACGUGAAAUUUGAACAUUGCUGCACAAGUAUUGUAUAAAAAAAAGUCUGUAAAGAACUUUCUUAUGUAAACAUACAGGGGAAUAAAGACUUUUAUCUGUUC
rnacentral:lncRNA from 10 species